rnacentral:piRNA from 1 species
AACACUUGCAAUCGUGGUGCGUCAUGU